GUGGGGAAUCUUGCGCAAUGGGCGAAAGCCUGACGCAGCAACGCCGCGUGCGGGAUGACGGCCUUCAAGGUUGUAAACCGCUUUCAGCAGGGACGAAAAUGACGGUACCUGCAGAAGAAGCCCCGGCUAACUACGUGCCAGCAGCCGCGGUAAUACGUAGGGGGCAAGCGUUGUCCGGAUUCAUUGGGCGUAAAGAGCUCGUAGGCGGUUCAGUAAGUCGGGUGUGAAAGCUCCGAGCUCAACUCGGAGAGGCCACCCGAUACUGCUGUUACUUGAGUACAGUAGGGGAGCGUGGAAUUCCUGGUGGAGCGGUGAAAUGCGCAGAUAUCAGGAGGAACACCAGCGGCGAAGGCGGCGCUCUGGGCUGUAACUGACGCUGAGGAGCGAAAGUGUGGGUAGCAAACAGGAUUAGAAACCCUAGUAGUCC
rnacentral:rRNA from 1 species